AACCUGCAACCUCAUGGUUCCUAGUCAGAUUUGUUUCCACUAUGCCACUAUGGGAACUCCUGUUAUAAUCCCUCCUGAAUAUUGGAGAGGGAAACUUCCCUGGAAGCAGCUUAGUCAGACAGGUGAAGGUAACGUGCAACGAGGUCAAGUAUUUCAGCUAGCACCAGAAUUACACUCUCUUGGAGCUCUGUUUCUCAAUCCUGGCUGAACAUUCCAAUAACCACUGGCUGGGUCAACCCCAGAUCCAUUACAUCAACCCCUACAAUUCAGGCUCAAGCAUAAUCAGUAUGUUUUAAAAACUUCUCUGGGGGUUCCCAUCAUGGCUCAAAAGAAGGGAAUCCGACUAGUAUCCAUGAGGAUGCGGGUUUGAUCCCUGGCUUCAAUUAGUGGGUCAGGGAUCUGGUGUUGCUGUGAGCUGUGGGAUAGGCUGCACAUGCGGCUCAGACCUGGCAUUGCUGUGGCUAUGGUGUAGAUCCAAUUCCGUCUCUAGCCUGGGAACUUACAUAUACCUCGGGUGCAGCCCUAAACUCCUCUGAAGAUACUUAUGUGCAGCUAGGGUUCAGAAAUACUGAUGUAAAUCUUUACAAAGUAAGGUGGAUUGAAUUCUUUUUUUAAAAUGAGUUUUUGAAUAUGUUUUGCUUUAGAGACAUCACUAACAAAUAUUGCAGUGUACUCAAAUUCCUUUUGCUCUAUGGAUCCAAGUUUUAAUUCAUUUCUCAUAAUUAAACCUUAAAAUUGAACUAUGUGAUAGAAAGAUGAUGGGGCUUCUCAUUCCUGGACAAUGUCUCCAAGGUCUAGACACAGAAGGAGUAAACAAAGAUCUACUCUCUUUUAACUGAAUUUACCUUGUGUUAAUUUUUUCUGUACAGCAAAAUGAUUCAGUUUACAGAAUCUUUUUUUUUUUUUUAAACAAGAUCUACUCUUUUUUCCUCCCACUCUAGCCUGUGGUAGUUUGGAUCAGUAUCAUUGUUUUUAUUUCAAAUUUGAGGAAAUUUGGAGAAUUGCUAAUAUCAGAGAGGGAAAAAUACAUAUAAAGAGAUUGAUUUCUCCCAUACUACCUAAUUGCAGUAACCUCCAUGAAUACAUAGACUGCCGGGCAUAAUCAAAUUACCUCUGUAAAGUCUCGACCUAAAACUAUUUUUGGAAAUUAGGGAUUUUCCAGAUUAGUGAAAGCUGUGGCUUGUCACUAGCUCAGGCCCGAGUUUCGCAAGCGAAGCUGCUAAAGCAGUCUCUCUCCCAGUCAAUACGAAUCCCUCGCCAUACUUAGAUACCUCUGGGAACCACAUGCUCAUCUGACAGCUUUUUUUUUUUUUUUUUUUUUGAACCGAUGUAGUUCACAAGCCUGUUUCCCAAAAAUACUGUAAAGCAGCCCUUUCCAGAUUCCUUGUGGGUCACUUUAAAUUACAAGUUCGUCCAUACAGGACAUCAGAGUAACCAUUUCCACCAGCCAAUGCCGGCGAAGGUCGUUCGUCCUGAUGCUUCCCUUUCUACUCGCUGAACCCGAGUCAUCCAAACGCGAAAAGUUAGAUGAGGUAGAGACGGGAGCAAAGAGAUCCACGUUCUAGACAAAUUAUCAAAUUAGCGCCAGGGUUAUUAUAGUAGUAAACCUUGAGAACUCUAACUUGGCUAUCUCGUAAAGCCCCCUUAUUAUUCUUGUGGUUAAAAUACUACAAACAGGCGGUUUAGACCUGGUUUAUCCAAAUUGACAGUUCCCUCGACCACUCUGGGGUCUCAGCGGAGAAGUCACCCUAGACUCCCUCCCGGUGGGGGCCACUCUGGGCGGACAGAGGAGCCGCGGGAGGACACCUGGCCUGAAGGGACUAGUUGGCGCGCACUGGAUGGGCGUGGUGACGUCAGGGCGGAGGCGCACGCUGCGUGAAGCGUCUCAGAACCCGGCGGUCACGGGAAUAUCCGUCGCGCCGAGAACGCUGGUUAGUCUCACUCCGGUUCCGGCUGCGUUGGGUGUGCGUGCAGCUCGCUGAGACUAUGGCGUCCGGGCCUCACCCGACCGCGACUGCUGCCGCCGCCGCUUCGUCGGCCGUCCCGAGCGCGGGCGGCUCCAGCUCCGGAACGACGACUACGACGACGACCACGACGGGAGGAAUCCUGAUCGGCGACCGCCUCUAUUCGGAAGUUUCGCUCACUAUCGACCACUCGCUGAUUCCGGAGGAACGGCUCUCUCCCACCCCGUCCAUGCAGGACGGGCUCGAUCUGCCCAGCGAGACGGACUUACGCAUUCUGGGCUGCGAGCUCAUCCAGGCCGCCGGCAUUCUCCUCCGGCUGCCGCAGGUGGCGAUGGCAACGGGGCAGGUGUUGUUUCAUCGUUUUUUCUACUCCAAAUCUUUCGUCAAACACAGUUUCGAGAUUGUUGCUAUGGCUUGUAUAAAUCUUGCAUCAAAAAUCGAAGAAGCGCCUAGAAGAAUAAGAGAUGUGAUUAAUGUAUUUCACCACCUACGCCAGUUAAGAGGAAAAAGGACUCCAAGCCCCCUGAUCCUUGAUCAGAACUACAUUAACACCAAAAAUCAAGUUAUCAAAGCAGAGAGGAGAGUGUUAAAGGAGUUGGGAUUUUGUGUUCAUGUCAAGCAUCCCCAUAAGAUCAUUGUUAUGUAUUUACAAGUCUUAGAAUGUGAACGUAAUCAAACCCUGGUUCAGACUGCCUGGGUAGUCCAUGAUGGUAAGUCAUAGAACUCUGCCCUCUGCACUUCAGCCCAUGACCUCAGGAUGGCCUGAUUGGCUGCCCUGCUCUCCAGCCAAUCCAGUGCAAGCUCUCAUCCGAGAUUCACUGAAGUGGUCCAUAUCCAUCUGGCAGCAUCUUCUAGUUCUGUCGGGGUGUCAAAAGGAUUUGUAUAUUUGCUUCUAGAAGUAACUAUUCAACAUGCCUGUGUAUUUAAUGUAUACCUGUAACUAUCAAAAUGAAUAGUUCAUUUUUGAUAGAUGUGUUAUCCAGCCAUUAUGCAUUAAAUGAUUUUUGUUAGGAAUUUGACUAGAUUUGUUUUUAGUGUAUGUAUAGCAUGAAUUCUACCAAAGGAAACAGCAGCUUAAAAUGGGCACCAUUCCCAUACUUGAAUUUAUAGCUGCUUGGCUAUUGGAGACAAUAAUAGUAGCAUUAAGAAGUACUUCACUUUUAAGAGAUGUUAAUAUUAACACAAGCACUUUAGAACUUAGUCUUUUGAGAUACAGAUGUGUGAUUUGGGAGUUCUGACGUAUUUAAAAGUAAAAUAAGGAGUUUGUGGUUCAACCGCAACUAGUAUCUUAAGACUGUUGAUGAUGUGCAGUACUUUAAGUGAUGUAAUGCUUAUAUUCUGUCAUGCUUUUUUUGGGGCUCAAUAAAUAUUAGUAAUGUUAGAAAAGUCUCAUUACUUUUAUAAAAUGCAUGACUUUUUAAUACAUGUUUUAUAAGACAGAUUUUUUAGCAGUUUUCAUGGGUAAGGACUUUUAAGAAAUAGUCUUUAAUUUUAGUUUAACCUUUUAAACAAUUUGUAAAAUUUAUUCAAUACUUCAGAAAUAUUGUGGGGAGGGUUCACUAAUAUGAAAGUCCAGUAAUUUAUUAACUGAAAUAGUUACUGCUUUUAUUUAUACUUAGUCACAAAAAGGUAUGUAAGCAAGGCUGUUGUAUAUAUCUGUUGCUCUUCAUUUCUCAACCUAGGUUUAGUAUUCUUAAUUUCAUGAGUGCCCUUUUUUAUCCCUCACAGUAUUGAGUUUUUGAAACUUGAUUGAAAUUGCUUUUCACUGUGGAUAAAGGAGAGACGGUCAGUAAUUAAUGGCUUGAAGUAUUGUUGGAGUGGUUUAUCAUUUCUGAAACGAGUCAUUCAGAGCAUUGCUUUUUAUAGACAUGUUUUUAAAGAAACUUUAUGUACAUUUUAUUUGGAAUAAUGAGUUAUUUUAAAGGACUUUGGUUAUAUGGAAAGGUAAAGGAUGGUUCUGCUGUUAAAUUCUUACCUCUUACUCAUUUUUGAGUUAAGAAUUGUUAUAUGUUAGAAUGUGAAGUACUUAUGAGAAGAAAAAAGAAUAAAGUAGAUUGAGUCUCCAAUUUUAUGUAAGCUUCAGAACUGGUUUGUUUACAUACAAAGCUUAUGGUUGAAAUAUUUUUCAGGAAUUAUAUGAAUGACAGUCUUCGAACCAAUGUAUUUGUUCGAUUUCAACCAGAGACUAUAGCGUGUGCGUGCAUCUACCUUGCAGCUAGAGCUCUUCAGAUUCCAUUGCCAACUCGUCCCCAUUGGUUUCUUCUCUUUGGUACAACAGAAGAGGAGAUCCAGGAAAUCUGCAUAGAAACACUUAGGCUUUACACCAGAAAAAAGCCAAAUUAUGAAUUGCUGGAGAAAGAAGUAGAGAAAAGAAAAGUAGCCUUACAAGAAGCCAAAUUAAAAGCAAAGGGAUUGAAUCCUGAUGGAACUCCAGCCCUUUCAACUCUCGGUGGAUUUUCUCCAGCCUCUAAACCAUCAUCACCCAGAGAAGUAAAAACUGAAGAGAAGUCUCCGAUCUCCGUUAAUGUGAAGACAGUAAAAAAAGAACCUGAGGAUAGACAACAGGCUUCCAAAAGCCCUUAUAAUGGUGUAAGAAAAGACAGCAAGAGAAGUAGAAAUAGCCGAAGUGCAAGUCGAUCAAGGUCAAGAACACGAUCACGUUCUAGAUCACACACUCCAAGAAGACAUUAUAAUAAUAGGCGGAGUCGAUCUGGAACAUACAGCUCGAGAUCAAGAAGCAGGUCCCGCAGUCACAGUGAAAGCCCAAGAAGACAUCAUAAUCAUGGUUCUCCACACCUUAAAGCCAAGCAUACCAGAGAUGAUUUAAAAAGUUCAAAUAGACAUGGUCACAAAAGGAAAAAAUCUCGUUCUCGAUCUCAGAGCAAGUCUCGGGAUCACUCAGAUGCUGCCAAGAAACACAGGCAUGAAAGGGGACAUCAUAGGGACAGGCGUGAAAGAUCUCGCUCCUUUGAGAGGUCCCAUAAAGGCAAGCACCAUGGUAGCAGUCGCUCAGGACAUGGCAGACACAGGCGCUGACUUUCUUCCUUUGAGCCUGCAUCAACUCCUCAUUUUGCCUAUCUACAGUGUGAUGUAUGGACUCAUAAUUGAAACAUUAAAAGCAAAUUGAUUAGGAUUUGAUUUCUUAAAACCCUCUUAGGUCUCUAGAAAUACUGAGGACAUUUUCUUUUGAAAAGAACUGUUUUUUUGUUAUUUUUUUUUCUUUUUUUUUGCACAUUAAAAAUGCCCUAGCAGUAUCUAAUUGAAAAAACCAUGGUCAGGUUCAAUUGUAAUUAUUAUAGUUGUGUAUUGUUUAUUGCUAUAAGAACUGGAGUGUGAAUUCUGUAAAAAUGUAUCUUAUUUUUAUACACAUAAAAUUGCAGACACUGUUCUAUUUAAGUGGUUAUUUGUUUAAAUGAUGGUGAAUACUUUCUUAACACUGGUUUGUCUGCAUGUGUAAAGAUUUUUACAAGGAAAUAAAAUACAGAUCUUGUUUUUCUAAACUGCUUCAAAUACUUAUUUAAAUAAAUUAUUAAAGAACAGAAUU